GUGGAGCAAUCCAUGAGUACAGUGGCGCACGGGUGAGUAACACGUGACUAACCUACCCUUGAGUGGGGGAUAACUGAGGGAAACCUUAGCUAAUACCGCAUAAUACCUACGGGUCAAAGGAGCAAUUCGCUUAAGGAGGGGGUCGCGGCCGAUUAGUUAGUUGGCGGGGUAAUGGCCCACCAAGACUGUGAUCGGUAUCCGGCCUGAGAGGGCGCACGGACACACUGGAACUGAAACACGGUCCAGACUCCUACGGGAGGCAGCAGUGGGGAAUUUUGCGCAAUGGGGGAAACCCUGACGCAGCAACGCCGCGUGGAGGAUGAAGUCCUUCGGGACGUAAACUCCUUUCGAUCGGGACGAUUAUGACGGUACCGGAAGAAGAAGCCCCGGCUAACUUCGUGCCAGCAGCCGCGGUAAUACGAGGGGGGCGAGCGUUGUUCGGAAUUAUUGGGCGUAAAGGGUGCGUAGGCGGUUUGGUAAGUCUUAUGUGAAAUCUAUGGGCUCAACUCAUAGACUGCAUGAGAAACUGCCGGGCUUGAGUGUGGGAGAGGUGAGUGGAAUUUCCGGUGUAGCGGUGAAAUGCGUAGAUAUCGGAAGGAACACCUGUGGCGAAAGCGGCUCACUGGACCACAACUGACGCUGAUGCACGA
rnacentral:rRNA from 1 species